UUCGAUUCCCUUAGUAGCGGCGAGCGAAACGGGAAGAGCCCAAACCAACAAGCUUGCUUGUUGGGGUUGUAGGACACUCUAUACGGAGUUACAAAGGACGACAUUAGACGAAUCAUCUGGAAAGAUGAAUCAAAGAAGGUAAUAAUCCUGUAGUCGAAAAUGUUGUCUCUCUUGAGUGGAUCCUGAGUACGACGGAGCACGUGAAAUUCCGUCGGAAUCUGGGAGGACCAUCUCCUAAGGCUAAAUACUCUCUAGUGACCGAUAGCGAACCAGUACCGUGAGGGAAAGGUGAAAAGCACCCCGGAAGGGGAGUGAAAUAGAACCUGAAACCGUGUGCUUACAAGUAGUCAGAGCCCGUUAAUGGGUGAUGGCGUGCCUUUUGUAGAAUGAACCGGCGAGUUACGAUUUGAUGCAAGGUUAAGCAGUAAAUGUGGAGCCGUAGCGAAAGCGAGUCUGAAUAGGGCGUUUAGUAUUUGGUCGUAGACCCGAAACCAGGUGAUCUACCCUUGGUCAGGUUGAAGUUCAGGUAACACUGAAUGGAGGACCGAACCGACUUACGUUGAAAAGUGAGCGGAUGAACUGAGGGUAGCGGAGAAAUUCCAAUCGAACCUGGAGAUAGCUGGUUCUCUCCGAAAUAGCUUUAGGGCUAGCCUCAAGUGAUGAUUAUUGGAGGUAGAGCACUGUUUGGACGAGGGGCCCCUCUCGGGUUACCGAAUUCAGACAAACUCCGAAUGCCAAUUAAUUUAACUUGGGAGUCAGAACAUGGGUGAUAAGGUCCGUGUUCGAAAGGGAAACAGCCCAGACCACCAGCUAAGGUCCCAAAAUAUAUGUUAAGUGGAAAAGGAUGUGGCGUUGCCCAGACAACUAGGAUGUUGGCUUAGAAGCAGCCAUCAUUUAAAGAGUGCGUAAUAGCUCACUAGUCGAGUGACACUGCGCCGAAAAUGUACCGGGGCUAAACAUAUUACCGAAGCUGUGGAUUGUCCUUUGGACAAUGGUAGGAGAGCGUUCUAAGGGCGUUGAAGCAUGAUCGUAAGGACAUGUGGAGCGCUUAGAAGUGAGAAUGCCGGUGUGAGUAGCGAAAGACGGGUGAGAAUCCCGUCCACCGAUUGACUAAGGUUUCCAGAGGAAGGCUCGUCCGCUCUGGGUUAGUCGGGUCCUAAGCUGAGGCCGACAGGCGUAGGCGAUGGAUAACAGGUUGAUAUUCCUGUACCACCUAUAAUCGUUUUAAUCGAUGGGGGGACGCAGUAGGAUAGGCGAAGCGUGCGAUUGGAUUGCACGUCUAAGCAGUAAGGCUGAGUAUUAGGCAAAUCCGGUACUCAUUAAGGCUGAGCUGUGAUGGGGAGAAGACAUUGUGUCUUCGAGUCGUUGAUUUCACACUGCCGAGAAAAGCCUCUAGAUAGAAAAUAGGUGCCCGUACCGCAAACCGACACAGGUAGUCAAGAUGAGAAUUCUAAGGUGAGCGAGCGAACUCUCGUUAAGGAACUCGGCAAAAUGACCCCGUAACUUCGGGAGAAGGGGUGCUCUUUAGGGUUAACGCCCAGAAGAGCCGCAGUGAAUAGGCCCAAGCGACUGUUUAUCAAAAACACAGGUCUCUGCUAAACCGUAAGGUGAUGUAUAGGGGCUGACGCCUGCCCGGUGCUGGAAGGUUAAGAGGAGUGGUUAGCUUCUGCGAAGCUACGAAUCGAAGCCCCAGUAAACGGCGGCCGUAACUAUAACGGUCCUAAGGUAGCGAAAUUCCUUGUCGGGUAAGUUCCGACCCGCACGAAAGGCGUAACGAUUUGGGCACUGUCUCAACGAGAGACUCGGUGAAAUCAUAGUACCUGUGAAGAUGCAGGUUACCCGCGACAGGACGGAAAGACCCCGUGGAGCUUUACUGUAGCCUGAUAUUGAAAUUCGGCACAGCUUGUACAGGAUAGGUAGGAGCCUUUGAAACGUGAGCGCUAGCUUACGUGGAGGCGCUGGUGGGAUACUACCCUAGCUGUGUUGGCUUUCUAACCCGCACCACUUAUCGUGGUGGGAGACAGUGUCAGGCGGGCAGUUUGACUGGGGCGGUCGCCUCCUAAAAGGUAACGGAGGCGCUCAAAGGUUCCCUCAGAAUGGUUGGAAAUCAUUCAUAGAGUGUAAAGGCAUAAGGGAGCUUGACUGCGAGACCUACAAGUCGAGCAGGGUCGAAAGACGGACUUAGUGAUCCGGUGGUUCCGCAUGGAAGGGCCAUCGCUCAACGGAUAAAAGCUACCCCGGGGAUAACAGGCUUAUCUCCCCCAAGAGUUCACAUCGACGGGGAGGUUUGGCACCUCGAUGUCGGCUCAUCGCAUCCUGGGGCUGUAGUCGGUCCCAAGGGUUGGGCUGUUCGCCCAUUAAAGCGGUACGCGAGCUGGGUUCAGAACGUCGUGAGACAGUUCGGUCCCUAUCCGUCGUGGGCGUAGGAAAUUUGAGAGGAGCUGUCCUUAGUACGAGAGGACCGGGAUGGACAUACCUCUGGUGUACCAGUUGUCGUGCCAACGGCAUAGCUGGGUAGCUAUGUGUGGACGGGAUAAGUGCUGAAAGCAUCUAAGCAUGAAGCCCCCCUCAAGAUGAGAUUUCCCAACUUCGGUUAUAAGAUCCCUCAAAGAUGAUGAGGUUAAUAGGUUCGAGGUGGAAGCAUGGUGACAUGUGGAGCUGACGAAUACUAAUCGAUCGAAGACUUAAUCAA
rnacentral:rRNA from 1 species